GUUGACCUCGGAUCAGGUGAGGAUACCCGCUGAAUUUAAGCAUAUCA
rnacentral:rRNA from 1 species